GCUAAUUCAGUGGUCAUUGCAGGAACAAAUAUUAAUGGCCUGCAAAGAAUACAUCAAUCUGCAUAGUCAGGAUGGAAAGAAGGCAGAAAGGCAAGCAAAAGUAAGAGAGAGAGCAAAAACGAAGGCAAAGAGGAGGGAUUGAGGGAAGGAAGGGAGGGGGGAGGGAGAGGGGGGAAGGAAGGAAGGAAGGAAGGAAAAUAAAGAAUAAAAAAACUUUUAAGAAAUUUUAGACAGCAUUGAUGAGAAAAGAUAUAUACCUACAAAUAACCUAGCAAAACUUUUGGACUACUAAAAUAAAAGGAAAUAUUAUGUAUUUUCAAAUAAAAGUAUUUUUAAAAUAAGAAAGACAAAAUAUUUGGAUUAAGAUAAGAAAUAUCAUACUAGAAUUGAGAGGAUGGUCAGAUAACAACUAUAAGUUGCUGAGGAAAAACUACUUCAAGCUAAGAACUGUAUCCCUUGUCAAGGUAUCACUCACCUACUACAGUAAAAUAAAUAGAUAUGGACCUGUCAUUAGUAAAUUAAUGUAUCACACAACUAAGAGGAUAAA
rnacentral:lncRNA from 1 species